GACGAACGCUGGCGGCGUGCUUAACACAUGCAAGUCGAGCGGUAAGGCCCUUUCGGGGGUGCACGAGCGGCGAACGGGUGAGUAACACGUGGGUGACCUGCCCUCAGCUCUGGGAUAAGCCUGGGAAACCGGGGUCUAAUACCGGAUAUGACUCCAUGACGCAUGUUGUGGGGUGGAAAGCCUUGUGCGGCUGAGGAUGGGCCCGCGGCCUAUCAGCUUGUUGGUGGGGGGAUGGCC
rnacentral:rRNA from 1 species